rnacentral:rRNA from 1 species
GAUGAACGCUAGCUACAGGCUUAACACAUGCAAGUCGAGGGGCAGCGGGAUUGAAGCUUGCUUCAAUUGCCGGCGACCGGCGCACGGGUGAGUAACGCGUAUCCAACCUUCCGUACACUCAGGGAUAGCCUUUCGAAAGAAAGAUUAAUACCUGAUGGUAUCUUAAGCACACAUGUAAUUAAGAUUAAAGAUUUAUCGGUGUACGAUGGGGAUGCGUUCCAUUAGGUAGUAGGCGGGGUAACGGCCCACCUAGCCAACGAUGGAUAGGGGUUCUGAGAGGAAGGUCCCCCACAUUGGAACUGAGACACGGUCCAAACUCCUACGGGAGGCAGCAGUGAGGAAUAUUGGUCAAUGGACGAGAGUCUGAACCAGCCAAGUAGCGUGAAGGAUGAAGGUCCUACGGAUUGUAAACUUCUUUAUAAGGGAAUAAACCCUCCCACGUGUGGGAGCUUGUAUGUACCUUAUGAAUAAGCAUCGGCUAAACUCCGUG